AACGAACGCUGGCGGCAUGCCUAACACAUGCAAGUCGAACGGGAUCCAAUCCUUCGGGGUGGUGAGAGUGGCGGACGGGUGAGUAACGCGUGGGAACCUGCCCAGUGGUGGGGGAUAACUGCGGGAAACUGCAGCUAAUACCGCAUGAGCCCGAGAGGGGAAAGAUUUAUCGCCAUUGGAGGGGCCCGCGUUCGAUUAGGUAGUUGGUGGGGUAAUGGCCUACCAAGCCGACGAUCGAUAGCUGGUCUGAGAGGAUGAUCAGCCACACUGGGACUGAGAUACGGCCCAGACUCCUACGGGAGGCAGCAGUGGGGAAUAUUGGACAAUGGGGGCAACCCUGAUCCAGCAAUGCCGCGUGAGUGAUGAAGGCCUUAGGGUUGUAAAGCUCUUUUGCCAGGGACGAUGAUGACGGUACCUGGAGAAUAAGCCCCGGCUAACUUCGUGCCAGCAGCCGCGGUAAUACGAAGGGGGCAAGCGUUGUUCGGAAUUACUGGGCGUAAA
rnacentral:rRNA from 1 species